rnacentral:rRNA from 1 species
AUUGAACGCUGGCGGCAGGCUUAACACAUUCAAGUCGAACGAGUGGCGGACGGGUGAGUUAUGAAUGGGACUCUCGCUUAUGGAGGGGGAUAGCUAACGGAAACUGUUGCUAAUACCGCGUACCAUAGGAUGAGCCCACGUGGGCUUUGGUAGUUGGUGAGGGAAAGGAUCCCCAAGCCGACGAUCUCUAGCUGGUCUGAGAGGAUGACCAGCCACACUGGGACUGAGACACGGCCCAGACUCCUACGGGAGGCAGCAGUGGGGAAGAUUGCGCAAUGGGGGCAACCUGACGCAGCCAUGCCGCGUGAAUGAAGAAGGCCUUCGGGUUGUAAAGUUCUUUCGGUAGCGAGGCGUUAACUACAGAAGAAGCACCGGCUAACUCCGUGCCAGCAGCCGCGGUAAUUC